GAUGAACGCUGGCGGCGUGCCUAAUACAUGCAAGUCGAGCGAACAGACGAGGAGCUUGCUCCUCUGACGUUAGCGGCGGACGGGUGAGUAACACGUGGAUAACCUACCUAUAAGACUGGGAUAACUUCGGGAAACCGGAGCUAAUACCGGAUAAUAUAUUGAACCGCAUGGUUCAUUAGUGAAAGACGGUUUUGCUGUCACUUAUAGAUGGAUCCGCGCCGCAUUAGCUAGUUGGUAAGGGAACGGCUUACCAAGGCAACGAUGCGUAGCCGACCUGGGAGGCUGAUCGGCCACACUGGAACUGAGACACGGUCCAGACUCCUACGGGAGGCCGCAGUAGGGAAUCUUCCGCAAUGGGCGAAAGCCUGACGGAGCAACGCCGCGUGAGUGAUGAAGGUCUUCGGAUCGUAAAACUCUGUUAUUAGGGAAGAACAAAUGUGUAAGUAACUAUGCACGUCUUGACGGUACCUAAUCAGAAAGCCACGGCUAACUACGUG
rnacentral:rRNA from 1 species